UACGGGGGAGCAAGCGUUGUUCGGAUUUACUGGGCGUAAAGGGCGCGUAGGCGGUCGUGACAAGUCACUUGUGAAAUCUCCGGGCUUAACUCGGAACGGUCAAGUGAUACUGUCGGACUAGAGUACAGAAGGGGCAACUGGAAUUCUCGGUGUAGCGGUGAAAUGCGCAGAUAUCGGGAGGAACACCCGUAGCGAAGGCGGCACUCUGGGCCGUGACGUGACGCUGAGGAGCGAAAAGCGUGGGGAGCAAACAGGGA
rnacentral:rRNA from 1 species